rfam:Medicago truncatula strain A17 chromosome 8, whole genome shotgun sequence.
GGCUCUCGUGAUGAUCAAACCAAUAACUUUCGUUCUUCUGAGUUAUCCAUGCGGAAAUCAUAUGGAGACCUGAACUGAAGAGCC